AUUGAACGCUGGCGGCAUGCCUUACACAUGCAAGUCGAACGGUAACGGGCCUUCGGGUGCCGACGAGUGGCGAACGGGUGAGUAAUGCAUCGGAACGUACCUUUCAGUGGGGGAUAACGUAGCGAAAGUUACGCUAAUACCGCAUAUUCUGUGAGCAGGAAAGCAGGGGAUCGCAAGACCUUGCGCUGAUUGAGCGGCCGAGGGCAGAUUAGCUAGUUGGUGAGGUAAAGGCUCACCAAGGCGACGAUCUGUAGCGGGUCUGAGAGGAUGAUCCGCCACACUGGAACUGAGACACGGUCCAGACUCCUACGGGAGGCAGCAGUGGGGAAUUUUGGACAAUGGGGGCAACCCUGAUCCAGCCAUGCCGCGUGAGUGAAGAAGGCCUUCGGGUUGUAAAGCUCUUUCGGCCGGGAAGAAAUCGUAUGGGCUAAUACCCUGUGCGGAUGACGGUACCGGCAUAAGAAGCACCGGCUAACUACGUGCCAGCCGCCGCCGUAACAC
rnacentral:rRNA from 1 species